UACGAAGGGUGCAAGCGUUACUCGGAAUUACUGGGCGUAAAGAGCUCGUAGGCGGCUUGUCGCGUCGGAUGUGAAAGCCCGGGGCUUAACUCCGGGUCUGCAUUCGAUACGGGCAGGCUAGAGUUCGGUAGGGGAGAUCGGAAUUCCUGGUGUAGCGGUGAAAUGCGCAGAUAUCAGGAGGAACACCGGUGGCGAAGGCGGAUCUCUGGGCCGAUACUGACGCUGAGGAGCGAAAGCGUGGGGAGCGAACAGG
rnacentral:rRNA from 1 species